rnacentral:rRNA from 1 species
GAUGAACGCUGGCGGCGUGCUUAACACAUGCAAGUCGAACGGAAAGGCCCUGCUUGCAGGGUACUCGAGUGGCGAACGGGUGAGUAACACGUGGGUGAUCUGCCCUGUACUUUGGGAUAAGCCUGGGAAACUGGGUCUAAUACCGAAUAUGACAAUUGUUUGGAUGCGAUUGUGGAAAGCUUUUGCGGUAUGGGAUGAGCUCGCGGCCUAUCAGCUUGUUGGUGGGGUAAUGGCCUACCAAGGCGUCGACGGGUAGCCGGCCUGAGAGGGUGUACGGCCACAUUGGGACUGAGAUACGGCCCAGACUCCUACGGGAGGCAGCAGGGGGGAAUAUUGCACAAUGGGCGCAAGCCUGAUGCAGCGACGCCGCGUGGGGGAUGACGGCCUUCGGGUUGUAAACUCCUUUCGCAACCGACGAAGCCUUUUGGUGACGGUAGGUUGAGAAGAAGCACCGGCUAACUACGU